CAGCAGCCGCGGUAACACGGAGGGUGCAAGCGUUAAUCGGAAUUACUGGGCGUAAAGCGCACGCAGGCGGUCUGACAAGUCAGAUGUGAAAUCCCCGGGCUUAACCUGGGAACUGCAUUUGAAACUGUCAGGCUGGAGUCUUGUAGAGGGGGGUAGAAUUCCAGGUGUAGCGGUGAAAUGCGUAGAGAUCUGGAGGAAUACCGGUGGCGAAGGCGGCCCCCUGGACAAAGACUGACGCUCAGGUGCGAAAGCGUGGGGAGCAAACAGGAUUAGAUACCCCAGUAGUCCCUGUCUCUUAUAC
rnacentral:rRNA from 1 species